rnacentral:rRNA from 1 species
AGCAGCCGCGGUAAUUCCAGCUCCAAUAGCGUAUAUUAAGGUUGUUGCAGUUAAAAAGCUCGUAGUUGAACUUCGGGGUUCACCCAUUGGUCAGGCUUAAUUGUCUGUACUGGUGAGAUGAAUCUCUACCUUCUGAGGAACUUUCAUGCCAUUUAUUUGGUGUGAUUGGAAAUCAGGAUUGUUACUUUGAAAAAAUUAGAGUGUUUAAAGCAGGCUAACGUCUGAAUACAUUAGCAUGGAAUAAUGAAAUAGGACGGAUUGAUUCUAUUUCGUUGGUUUCUAGGAUCACCGUAAUGAUUAAUAGGGAUAGUUGGGGGCAUUAGUAUUCAAUUGUCAGAGGUGAAAUUCUUGGAUUUAUUGAAGACUAACUACUGCGAAAGCAUUUGCCAAGGAUGUUUUCAUUAAUCAAGGACGAAAGUUAGGGGAUCGAAGACGAUCAGAUACCGUCGUAGUCUUAACCAUAAACUAUGCCGACUAGGGAUCGGAUGAUGUUAAUUUUUUAACGACUCAUUC